ACAUGCUUACAAGAUAGCAUUGAUCCACUAGAUCCCAUUAGGACUCUACAGUUAAGCGUGCUCAAGCUAGAGUAGUACUAGGAUGGGUGAAUGCCCAGGAAGUCUUAGUGCUUUACAUGAC
rnacentral:rRNA from 1 species